rnacentral:lncRNA from 1 species
UUUAGGGCCAGCGAAUCAGUGAAGCUUGUCAUGUACCUCCAUAUUUCAACUUGCCCUAGAAGUGACUCUUCCUCCUCAUUGCUCAAACCCUGAUCACAAAUAUACCACACAGAUGUUAUUAUGUAAAAAUCUAAUACUAGCUCAUGCACAAUCCUUUCAAAUUUACAUCCUUUUCUUCUAUAGAUUAAUAAAUUUACGUGCAUGUAAUAAGACUCACAAUGAAUGAGAUUUACGUAUGCAUGCAGUCUUUCAAAAUAAGAACAUAUCACAUAUUACCAUAUUUCUUCUGUCUGCAUAUUCACGUAAUAGAAUUGAAAUUAUUAAAGGUUGGAUGAAUUGUGUUCUUUUCUUUAUCUGUGUUCAUGUUAUAUUGAUAGAGUACACCAAGAAAAAGUGUAUCAAUAUAAUAUAUUCAGAGAGAAAAUAAAAUAAUAGGUUUAUAAAUUAUGAAAUAUGAUAAAGAAGAAAAAAUAGGAAAAAAAAAAAGUCUAAUUGAUGUAGACGAAAUCAAAGUGUCCAUAAAUAUUUUUUUAUAUUAAUAUAAUUUGUGACUUCAAAUUCUCUUUACUUGUGAAACUAGAAUGAAAAAUCAUAUUAUGUAAAAAUAAUCUAUUUCUUACUUCUCAUAUUUGAAAUCUUAAGAAGAAAAAUAUGCAUAAAAAAUUCAAAUACAGAUGAAAGAAGUACUAAUAAUUAAUUGAGUAAGCUCGAGCAAAAUGACAUUUAUCGAGGAUCUUCUUUUCAUUAUUUUACUUUAGUCUAUUCUUUUUAUUCCAUUAUUACUACUUUUCCCCCUAACUGUAUGAUCCGAGAAGUAACCUUUGUGAAUUGUAUACAUCUUACAAUUACAUAUUGAGAAGGUAAAAAUUAUAUAUUUAUCAUAUAAAUAACUUAAUUUAGAUAUUUGAUUAUUCAUAUUUUCUUAACAUCUAUUUAACAGUAUUGUAAUUGGGACAAAAUAUUUAACAAGUUCAUAUAUUUUUCUUUCAAUAAUAUUUUUUUCAAAAUAUUUAAAUCCAAAAAUUUCAUUUAAAUCAUUUGAGUUUAGAUUUAUCUGGAUGAUUGAUAUGUUGACUAUUUUUUAAUAGCUUAAUAACAUUACUAUCUAACUUACCAAAAACUUUUUGAAAAAAAAAACUGAAAAAAAAACACUCCUAUUAAAUUAUACAAUAGAAAAACUGACAACACUCUUAUGUAAAUUUAUAGAAAACAAAUUCAAAAACUCCAUGUGUGUUGUACAAAUGGAUCCCUCAAUGAUGAGUUUGUAUCUAGAUUAAUAGUCAUUAGGAUGAUAAAUUAAAACAAGAGAGAUUCAUGAUCUUAUUAAUUUUAAAACGUAAAUUUAUUAAUCUUUUAUGUUUAAUAAAAUUAUACUCACAUUUCUUAUUUUUUUUUAUAUAAAUAUCUAUUUCUUAUAUUUUUAAUAAAAUUUACUUUCUUCUUAUAUUUCAAUAAAAUAAUAUUCAUAUAUUUUAUUUUAUUUAAAAUUAUCAUAUCAAUUAAACUUAAAAAUUAUUAAAAGUAAGUGUUAAAUUCUAAAAUAUAAAAAUAGAGAUGUCACUUAUUCGGGUUUUUAACGAGUUUUUAAAAACACUGAGACCCAUUAUUAUAAGGAUGUUCUUCCCUUCACCUUCCUAAGUGCUCCUCCAUCUGCUCACUAUUUUUAUUUGUUUCAAAAAUAUUUUACAUCUCUCCACUAUUUUCUUUUAUUCCAAAAAUACUCUAUACUCCCCACUAUUCUCAACAAUCUUUCUCUUUCUCUUCCUACAUUAAUGGAGCAUUCACAUAGUUCAGAUUUGAAUUUGUGAUAUACUGCAAAAUAUAAGAUUCAGAUAAAACUUCAAUAUUAGUUUCUACCACUUCCAUUUUAUAUUAAUAGUAAAUAAUAAUAUAUUAUUAUUAUAUACUAACUUUAUAAUGACAAAAAUACUAAAUUAAUUCCAAAUCUUUAACUAAUAACUUUUCUUUUAUAUUUUAAGUAUUUAAUGAUAUUUUUAUAUUAUUUAUCUAAUAAAUUAAAUACUUUAUUCAAAUUAUUUGAGUCGAAUAUGUUUGUAAGUUAAAACAUAAUAUAAUGUUAAAAAUUAUAGAUAUUAAAUGUAAAAAAAAACACACAUAUAUAUAAACAUUUUCUGGAAAUUUAGAACAAAGUUUUAUCAUUUAUUAAGUAAUUUUAAGAAAAAAAAAUAUAUUGAACAACAAAAAUAAGAUCGAAUCAAACUUAUUUAAGGGAAUAUAUCAAAAGUUCAAAUUUGAGUCAUGUAAUUGCAUCAUUAAUGAGCUAUGUAAAUGCUUCAUUAAUACAGAGAAAAAGAGAAAAAUUGUUAAAGAUAAUGGAGAUGUGUAGAAUAUUUUUAGAAUAAAAAAAAUAAUAAAAAUAUAUAAAAUAUUUUUGAAAUAAAUAAAAAUAAUGGAAGGUGAAAGAGCACUUGGAAGAUGGUGGGAGCAACCAUCCAUUCUAAUUGUAUUAUUGUUAUGGAGCAAUAAAUUGUCAUACACAUGUCGGCCAAUUGCUUCCUUCACCUGUCAUUUUCUUUCUACAAUCUAUCAUUUUUGGAAUUUGUUUUCCAACACAUAAUAAAUACUUUUGAAUAUUUUUUUUUUCUGAAAAUCAAUCAUAACCUCUUUUUACUAUCAGAAGUUUUUUUAUGGAGUGGGAGAAGAAAUUUGAUAGAAGUGGAAGAAGCAACUGCGUGGAUUCAACAGUUCACUAUAAGUAUCAUUCUUAUAACUAUUGUGUUUUUUUUUUCAUAAUAAUAUAUAAUUAAAUAUUACAAUUUUAUUAUAGAUAGACCUAUUAUUUUUGUAAAUAAUGUUUUAAAAUUGUUAAAUUUAAAAAAAUUGUUAAAUUAAAAAAUAUUACUUAAAAGUAAAACUGAUUUAAAAAACAUUAUUUAAAAAGUAAAAGAGAAAACAAAAUAUGACAAAAGAAAAAGAAUUCUCUUUAUAUAAUAUAAUAGUAUAGAAGUCUAAACUAUAUCCAAAAAAAUCUUAAUAAUUUGUCUACUAUUGAAUUAUUCAAUUUUUAUAUAAUUUUGUUUUAAUAUAUAUAAACAUUUAAACAAAAUAAAAAAUUGAGUUAAUAUAACUUUAGGAAUAUGAUUUCAAAAGGAGGUGCGUGCAAUAUUUUCUUAAUAUGAUAUACCUUGUUUUUUUUAACAAUAAGUAUUUUGCUAAUGAUGAAUUUGUUGUAUGCUUCAAAGUUCUUAAAAUUAAACCAACCUAUUUUACCAAUUGAGCCAAGUAACUAAUUUGAAAAACCCCAAAAGAUAAAAGUAAAAAUAUAGCAUUAAAGUCAAUAAGAAUUAUCAAUUUAAAUUAAUGUAAAAAAUUCUAGAAUUGAAUAUUGUUUUUUUAAAAAAAAAUACAAAUUCUUAGGUAAAAUUAAUGUAAAAAACACAAAAAAAAAACCUAUGUUCGGAUUUAAAAUAUUAUAAAUUAUAAUCUUAUAUGUCCAGUAAUAUUUUAGCUCGGUAAAACUGUAGUUCCCAACUAAAUAAACAAACAAAAUAGUCAAAGUCAAUAAAAAAAUAAAACUAACUGUCAUUUAUGCAGAAAAAUAAAUAACAUUUUAAUAUAAAAAAAUGAAAAAUUCUCAAUUAAUUCGAACGCAAUUCUACGAGUUCCACUAUCCUCAAUUUUGAUUUUUUUUUUUACUUCAUUAUUGUACGCUUUUUCUUAAUUUGCUUUCGAAAAUUAUUUUUCUAAAACUAGGAAAAGACAUCAAUAGACUACUAUUCAACAAUACUUUUAAGCAUAUCUUCCUAAAUAAAAAACACUUUCUUAAAAAAGUUCUCUUUCAUAGAAAAACCACUUUCUUAAAACAAGUUCUUUUCAAAGAAAAGCCACUUUUAUAUUUUAAAACCUAUUAUCCCAACAAAAUUUUCAUUAAAAUAAUUUUAACAGUAAAGUAGUUUGUAUUCACAUUCAGAUUUAUUAGCACUUGGCAGUCCUUACACAGUUCUCAACAGUGCUACUUAAAAUUCACUUUAAAUACACAUAAAAAUUAAAACAAAUCUUAAUUAACACAAAAAUUCCCCUGCAUGAAAUAAUAAUAUGGGAAUCAGCACCAACAUAAUCAGCAAUGUAAGCUCAAUGGUGCCCUCAAAGUCCUUAUUCUCUCAAACUGGGAAAGGCCACAAAGCCAAACUGGAAUCAAACUGACAAAUUUAACCAAACUUUAUAGCAUUAACUAACAAAGUUAUUCAGUUUAAAACUGACUAAAUUGUAAAGAACCUACAACCACUUUUUAAUGUAACAUUCCAUGCAUAUUGUUCAUGACCAACUACAUUAAUUCCAUCAAAAGUCAAGAAAAUAUAUGGUUCCUUCAACCAGAAACAUCAAAAUGGUUCCUAAGUUCUUAAAACCUAAUUAUAUAUAUGCAUAUCAUGAAAAAUCACCCAUGAAACUGAUGCAUAAAUCAAUGGUUUUGGCUAUCACCAAAGAAAGCCAAUGCCUGUGACAAAACCCACCAUCACCAUAAAGACAUAACACUCCUAACUUUUUCUGUAAACUUUUAGAUUCAUGUGUUAGCACCAUAAUUAGCCCAACAUACUAAUAAAAGCUGAUCAAAAGUAAGACAGUUUACUAAGUUUGUUAAACAAAACAGUGAGUCCAUGUGCAAUAUGUCUAUAUUCAGUUGGAAUAUACAAUAUUGAAAGAUACUUAAGAUCACAUAGAGCGAUACAGUAGUUAAAGUUGAAGUUCCAAUAUUAGUAUAUUUUAGUGAGAAAUAACCACAUAACCAUUUGAUCUAUUCUACGCACCUUGAAUUCCAAAGGUGGGGAGUGGUUGGAAAGAACAGUCUCCAUAUUCUGUGGAGUUCUAUACAAAGAAUCAGAUGUAUGAAGUUGGUGCUGAGUGGAAGAAGCCUUUCUCUUACUUACAACUAGGGUUCCAGUGAGUGAGUUCAGUGGGUGUGGAAAUGGUGGUUAAUAAAGAUGAUAAGGUAGCAUGACGUGUGUGGUUGAUUGCUUAGUUCAACAUAAGAACUGAUAGGGUAGAUGCUGUGUGUGGUUGAGAUUCAUAUCACAGAUUUCCAGGAACGUGCUCUUAAAUUAUUGAAAAUCUAUGAUGCUAGGUGAUGGAUGAGUGUGUGGUGCAGACCACACCCAAUAAAGUCUGUUCUCUGCUUUAGAGCAACUUCAUUGGUAAUGUAAGGACACAUGUAUUGCAAUUUUCAUGCAUUUCAGCCAGAUUAAUACUAUCUCACCCCUGAUUUUGGAAAGUGACUCACCCCAAUGACACAGUUUUCAAAUAAACAUCAUUACUAGUACAUUAUUGCCAUUCUUAUAUCAUACAUUUUUCAAAUAAACAUUAUUGUUCAUCGAUUAUUAUCAUGCAGUAACCAUCACUGUUCAUAGAAUAUUAUGCUAUCAUGCAGCUUUAAAAUAAUCAUCACUGUAUAUAGAUCAUGCCAACAGUCUUGAUAUAAAAACGUUGUUUAUAGUUUAUGCCAUUUUAAAACAAACAUCAUCUAUCAAUAAACAUUAUUAUGUAUAAUGAAGUAGAAGAAGCUUUCAAACCAUUUAUUAAAAAGAGAAGAAUCUGACCAAGAUAUAUGAUAAAUGACAAACCUGGUAGUCACAUCUGUUAUUUUGCUCCAUCUGAAAGUUGACACGUUAGAGCGAGAGAUCAAACGUGUAAACGUAAGCCUUCAAUAAUUGUGAUAGAAAUUGGUACCGAAGGCCAAUGAAAUCAAUACAAGUGGUGCAAUGCAAUGAUGAAUGUGACUUAUCAUGUCAGUUAGUGUUUUUGUUUUUUUAUUAUCAAAGUGAAUAUGACUUAUCAUUGUAUUGCACCAUAAAAAUGAGCAAUGCAACUGCAAUUUAAGACUCUCACGCACAUGGUGACCACAGUUGCACUUAGCACAGUAUUUUUCAGCAAUUUUUCUUACCAUAUGAGCAAUGCAACUGCAAUUUAAGACCUUGUCGUUAACGAUAGAGACAAAUUUUGUUAGGUAAACAAAUACACCUACCCUGGUUAACUAUGUAGUGUGGGUCAAAUUGUGUACGACUAAGAAGUCUACAAGUUAUAUCAAAAUAAGAUAUACAAAAUUCUCCAUCCUAUGAAGCUUUUGGUUCAUUGUCUUUCAUUCUUAAAUGAAUAUUCCUCAUUGUAAAACUUAUGUUCCCAAAUACUCAUUCCAAUAUCAAAAGAGAAAGAAAGAUUCAUUGAAGUGAGAGUGAAAUCAAGAGUUUAACUUCCUAUAUCCUAUUACACUACUCAUCCCAAAAUGAAAGAAGUUGAAUGAAGAUAUUUAAAGGAUGAGUAAGAAUCAAACUAAAGAGUGCAAAUUAUAAAAUUCUUGGACCACCUUCAAUCUUUUUCACAUAAUGGACUUUCUGGAAAGCUCAAUAAUGAGAGGUGAUAGAUUGGAUCCUCCAAGGCCUGGUCCAUUCCAGCUUGUCCCGGCCCAUUUCUUCUGUUGAUACAAAAUCCAUUAACAUUUCGGAGGGCAUACAAACGGCCCAUAUGUAACUGGGCCUUAAGAUCAUAGUACAUAUCAAAACUAGUAAGAGCUAACCCUAUGUAUCAAUAUGUGAAGUGGGUGAUACUCAGCACUGCAGUUAAAUCUGUAAUUUUCAUCAUUUUUCUUAGCAAAAGAACAAUGCAACUCCAAGUUAAGAUCUUCUGCCCUAAGCAUUAAAAGACAACAUUUGUUUGGAACAUACAUAUGGGCAUGUUUGAGUAGUUAGCAGUUUGUAGAUUGAGCAGAACCAUAGAGCACAUGUUUCUCUAUAUGAACAAGGAAGUCUAAAACUUGCAAGUUGUAUCAAAGGAACAUGAAAUCUGGACUAGACCAGCCAAAGCCCAGUGCAUACCAUAUAAAGGAAGCAUUACAGGAGAGGAAAACAAGGUAUCCGAAGAGAAAGGAACUAUCAGAAGAACCAGAGUCAAAUUGGUGGUGAAGGAAGUUGUUGAUUGUUUUCCUGCUAAUUCACCCAAAAAACAAGUAUGAACAACAGUGAUAAAAAAAACCUGGACUAGAAAGGUGUCAUUCGAGAUAAGUGGCCUGCAUUCCACACCUCAGUACCAUGCUGACCAGCUGAAACCAAUUUACAAGAUCAUAAAAUAUCCAUCCAAUGAUCAAGCAGAAGUGCAACAGAAAAACAAACAGAGAAUAAAGAACAAGAAAGAAAGUUGAAGCUAGCUCUGAUCUUCUACGGAAAGGUUUCAAAACAAGGUCUGCUGCAUAGACAGGAGAUCCACACACAUAAAUAAGGAGUAAACACCAGCAUUCCUCUUCUGCACAUCCAAAGUACUAUCACUGAAUGUACACUCUUAUCAUAAGAGCAAAAAAAGGAGGCAAGAUGCAAAAGAUUAACUUUUGAGAGGCAGCAAGGAAGGCUGAAGGUAUAGUGAAAAGAGUACGAAUGAAAGAUCAAAAGGGUGUGUGAGAAGAAGUUAAAAAUGCACUGAGAGUGAAGACAGCAAAAUGGUUGAAUGAGAUUAAUUUAUUAUUAGAAAAGCUUCAAGUAGUUCCCUACAGCUGUAACGUGUGUUGUACACAUGCAUAAGAUUUGAAGCUUUCGUUUUAGGAUCCACGGCAGCAUGCGUUGUCAAGCAAGUUGAGUUGAAAUUGGAGUUGUCGAGAGCGUACGAAAGGAUAAGAUAUCUUUGAAGCGAAUCUUCCCGAGCCAAGUAAAUGGCGUCAUCAAUCAUCAACUUCCAGAGCCACAACUUCUUUUCUUUUUCUUUCACUUCAAAUAAAUACAACACCUCAAUCAUUACAACACCUGCAACAAAAAUACCAUUCCUACACCUUUCAUCACAGAAAUGAUACAUAUUUUACGCUCUUCAUUCAAUUUUAACUCUUUUUUAAACUUAAACACAUCUUAUUUAUCAUAAUUAAGAGAAUUAUUAUUCCUUAUUUUACAUUCAUCUUAUAUUAGUUACAAAAAUAUUAUUAUUUUAUAUAUGUGAGGACUAGUAAAUAAAGUAAUAAAAC